CUGUGGAGGGCUGUCCCGUGCACUGCAGGAACAGCGAAGCUACUAGGGCGGCUAGAGUUAGCCAAUCAGAAUACAAAGGUCUCAGUUAAAUGUGAAUUUCAGAUAAAUAGCAAGUCUUUUUUUUUUUUUUUUAAGUAUAGGUAUGCCCCAUGCAGUAUUCAUAGCCUCCCUUAUCUCCAGCCACUGGAAGCCACUCGCCAGACCUACCCUGACCUGAGGUUCUGAAAACUACAGAUAUCACCAGACAUUGCCAAACGUCCCCCCUGGCGGGGGUGUGGGGAGGACCUGCCUCCGCCGCUGCAGAGCCACUGAUUCAAGAUAACCCAACCGAAGGCCUCCAAUCGCAAUCUCUUUAUCUUCGCUUUCAGAGGUCAUCUGAAUCCAUCUGCUGGCCGGGCAGAGUUAGUGUAUCCCACACGGAGAACACUUCUGACCCUCAGCCUCACCUGUCUCCUGUUUCAACUGCCACCAAAGCCACCAGCUCCAGUAACGUCUUCCAGACUGCCCUGAGAUGCCGCUUUUCGGAGGCGUUGCUACAAAAUAAAGCCAUCGGAAGUACUUAGUGGCAAUCAGCCCAGCCAUGUCUGCUCAGAUGCCCCUCCUUCUCUGUCUCAUUCCCAUUC